rnacentral:tRNA from 1 species
AGGAAUAUAGCUGAGUAGUAAAGUAUUUGUCUAAAGUGUAUAAGCCCCUGAGUUCAAUUCCCAGCAUUGCAA